AGUGUGAUUGCUGGGUUGUAUGGUAAGAGUAUGUUUAGUUUUGUAAGAAACUGACAAACUGUCUUUCAAAGUGGCUGUACCAUUUUGCAUUUCCACCAGCAGU
rnacentral:pre_miRNA from 1 species